CUGGGUAUAGCGCAGCCUGGUAGCGCGCCUGGUUCGGAUCCAGGAGGUCGCAGGUUCGAUUCCUGCUACCCAGA
rnacentral:tRNA from 1 species